GGACAGAUCCGGCACCCUCCCCCACAUCUUCUACCACCCAGCGGCGCUGGUCCUUUCUCUCCUGGGAGGUUUUAGGCUCUCCAGAGGGCAGGCAAGGGGCUCCAGGACCUCUGGCAGCUGCUGGCCCAGAGGGUCCCAGUCCCCUCCCCCAAUCCCCAGGCACAGUCUCCGUCCUGGCCCAGAAUGCGCUUGGCAGCAUCUUGGCUAAAGUGCCAUGGUGAGCGGGCUGCAAAGAAGGCCCCGGAAGAGAAGAGGGAAGAGCUGCUUGGGCCCCCAUCCCUCCCCCUCUUCCAUUUUGGGGUGGGCUAGGUCUUCAGAGAGGAGAGCAAGGGUCUCGAAUAGGGGCCCGUGGGGUAACUCGUAUCACUUUCGUGUUCCUUGUCGAAGCCUGUUCCCUGCAUGCUCUGGGAAUGGUGAUGGGCCUUUCGAGAGGCCCCCUGGGGACUGGGACCAUCAUCCUCCAGGAUCAAGCACAGAGACUCCUACAGCCCCACCCCCUCUCCAGCGCCGCAGAGAGAGCAAGAAUUGGGUCUGGCACCUGCCUCGUCCGGGUUGGCAGAGAUGGAACCAUCCAGCCUAGCGGAAACCCCUCCCGGCUGCCCUGACCUUCACGCCUGGCUCCCCUCAUCCAGAUCCACCAACCCUUGGCUGCCUGCCUGCCCUUCCCAUGGACUGUACCACCUCCCCGGCCCGACCCAGCAAGACAGAUCCUCAGUGCGACGGGGUUCUGGGCCUCUGAGAGCAUCCCUGCUUCCACGGGCAAUGCUUUUCGGCAGGAAUGUUAUUGGUGAUAAGGAGAUGAGGGUAAGAGAACCCACUACUCAGAAAACCAGCUUUCCAUAAACACGUUUCUUAACUCCAGACUCACCGAGGCUGCAUCUGUCUUUCUGGAAGCAUAGCCCACGUUCGUGGGAAUCUCCCAUGCUCUACUUAGAAGCCAGGACACCUGUAUUUUCUAACCAUGCUGGGUAAUUGUCACGCACACCCCUAAGCUAAGAUUUAUCUCCCAGAGUUAGACGGAUGCCAUUUCAAGGGUACAGGGAUCGCGAGGCCCCAGAUUACCAAGAACACUCAGAACACUCAGAAAAGUCACCUCCGACCCACCCCCGACCUCUGAGAGGCCCCACCUCCUACAAUUACUGACUUCAUUGCCCCUAAACCUCCUUGAAUGGUUUAGAAACUGGCUUUCCAGGGGCACCUGGGUGGCUCAGUCAAUUAAGGGUCUGAGUUCAGCUCAGGUCAUGAUCGCACAGCUCAUGGGUUCAAGC
rnacentral:lncRNA from 1 species